rfam:Schistosoma mattheei strain Denwood, Zambia genome assembly, scaffold: SMTD_scaffold0006419
AUCCAACUGACGAGCCGCAAAUAAGAUGAAACGCGCGUCUUGGAC